CCCAUAGGCCACUCAAUUCUUUCGGCUUGCUGGUCCUUGAGCAGAACGAGAUCUCCAACUUGUAUGUUAGGGUACUGUCGUUGCCAUUUCCUGCGUCCUUGCAGAGUGGAAAGAUACUCCAUCUUCCAACGAUUCCAGAAGCGGUUGGCAAGGUUUUGUACUCGCUUCCAUUGAUCAUAGCACAGAUUUCCGUCUUUAAAGUUUCCAGGUGGAGCAGGAA